GGGACAACAGUUGGAAACGACUGCUAAUACCGCAUAAGCCCACGACCCGGCAUCGGGUAGAGGGAAAAGGAGCAAUCCGCUUUGAGAUGGCCUCGCGUCCGAUUAGCUAGUUGGUGAGGUAACGGCCCACCAAGGCGACGAUCGGUAGCCGGACUGAGAGGUUGAACGGCCACAUUGGGACUGAGACACGGCCCAGACUCCUACGGGAGGCAGCAGUGGGGAAUAUUGCACAAUGGGGGAAACCCUGAUGCAGCGACGCCGCGUGGAGGAAGAAGGUCUUCGGAUUGUAAACUCCUGUUGUUGAGGAAGAUAAUGACGGUACUCAACAAGGAAGUGACGGCUAACUACGUGCCAGCAGCCGCGGUAAAACGUAGGUCACAAGCGUUGUCCGGAAUUACUGGGUGUAAAGGGAGCGCAGGCGGGAAGACAAGUUGGAAGUGAAAUCCAUGGGCUCAACCCAUGAACUGCUUUCAAAACUGUUUUUCUUGAGUAGUGCAGAGGUAGGCGGAAUUCCCGGUGUAGCGGUGGAAUGCGUAGAUAUCGGGAGGAACACCAGUGGCGAAGGCGGCCUACUGGGCACCAACUGACGCUGAGGCUCGAAAGUGUGGGUAGCAAACAGGAUUAGAUACCCUGGUAGUCCACACUGUAAACGAUGAUUACUAGGUGUUGGAGGAUUGACCCCUUCAGUGCCGCAG
rnacentral:rRNA from 1 species